AUUGAACGCUGGCGGCAGGCCUAACACAUGCAAGUCGAGCGAGCGGCGGACGGGUGAGUAAUGUAUGGGGACUGCCCGAUAGAGGGGGAUAACUACUGGAAACGGUAGCUAAUACCGCAUACUAUCGGAUAACCCAUAUGGGAUUAGCUAGUAGGUGAGGUAAUGGCUCACCUAGGCGACGAUCCCUAGCUGGUCUGAGAGGAUGAUCAGCCACACGGGGACUGGGACCAGUCCAAUGUGCCUACGGAGGCAGCAGAGGGGAAUAGUGAACAAUGGGCGCUAGCAUGAUGCAGUCAGGCAGCGUGUCUUAAGAAGGCCCGAGGGUUGGAAAGUACUUUCAGUCGGGAGGCGGUACCUACAGAAGAAGCACCGGCUAACUCCGUGCCAGCAGCCGCGGUAAUUC
rnacentral:rRNA from 1 species